CCUACGGGUGGCAGCAGUGAGGAAUAUUGGUCAAUGGGCGCAAGCCUGAACCAGCCAAGUCGCGUGAAGGAUGACUGCCCUACGGGUUGUAAACUUCUUUUAUAAGGGAAUAAAGUGAGGCACGUGUGCCUUUUUGUAUGUACUUUAUGAAUAAGGAACGGAUAACUCCGUUCCAGCAGCCGCGGUAAUACGGAGGAUCCGAGCGUUAUCCGGAUUUAUUGGGUGUAAAGGGAGCGUAGAUGGGUCGUUAAGUCAGUUGUGAAAGUUUGGGGCUCAACCGGCAAACUGCAAUUGAUACUGGCGGUCUUGAGUACAGUUGAGGUAGGCGGAAUUCGUGGUGUAGCGGUGAAAUGCUUAGAUAUCACGAAGAACUCCGAUUGCGAAGGCAGCUUACUAAACUGCCACUGACAUUGAUGCUCGAAAGUGUGGGUAUCAAACAGGAUUAGAUACCCUGGUAGUC
rnacentral:rRNA from 1 species